GACGAACGCUGGCGGCGUGCUUAACACAUGCAAGUCGAACGGAAAGGCCCCCUUGUGGGGUACUCGAGUGGCGAACGGGUGAGUAACACGUGAGUAACCUACCCUUGACUUUGGGAUAACUUCAGGAAACUGGGGCUAAUACCGGAUAGGAGCUCCUGCUGCAUGGUGGGGGUUGGAAAGUUUCGGCGGUUGGGGAUGGACUCGCGGCUUAUCAGCUUGUUGGUGGGGUAGUGGCUCACAAAGGCUUUGACGGGUAGCCGGCCUGGGAGGGUGACCGGCCACAUUGGGACUGAGAUACGGCCCAGACUCCUACGGGAGGCAGCAGUGGGGAAUAUUGCACAAUGGGCGGAAGCCUGAUGCAGCAACGCCGCGUGCGGGAUGACGGCCUUCGGGUUGUAAACCGCUUUCGCCUGUGACGAAGCGUGAGUGACGGUAAUGGGUAAAGAAGCACCGGCUAACUACGUG
rnacentral:rRNA from 1 species